rnacentral:rRNA from 1 species
AUUGAACGCUGGCGGCAGGCCUAACACAUGCAAGUCGGACGGUAGCACAGAGAGCUUGCUCUCGGGUGACGAGUGGCGGACGGGUGAGUAAUGUCUGGGGAUCUGCCCGAUAGAGGGGGAUAACCACUGGAAACGGUGGCUAAUACCGCAUACCGUCGCAAGACCAAAGAGGGGGACCUACGGGCCUCUCACUAUCGGAUGAACCCAGAUGGUAUUAGCUAGUAGGCGGGGUAAUGGCCCACCUAGGCGACGAUCCCUAGCUGGUCUGAGGGGAUGACCAGCCACACUGGAACGGAGACACGGUCCAGACUCCUACGGGAGGCAGCAGUGGGGAAUAUUGCACAAUGGGCGCAAGCCUGAUGCAGCCAUGCCGCGUGUAUGAAGAAGGUCUUCGGGUUGUAAAGUACUUUCAGCGGGGAGGAAGGCGGUGCGGUUAAUAACCGCGCCGAUUGACGUUACCCGCAGAAGAAGCACCGGCUAACUCCGUGCCAGCCGCCGCAGUAA